UACGGAGGGGGUUAGCGUUAUCCGGAAUCAUUGGGUUUAAAGGGUCCGUAGGCGGGCAGUUAAGUCAGUGGUGAAAGUCUUCCGCUCAACGGGAGAACUGCCAUUGAUACUGAUUGUCUUGAGUUAUUAUGAAGUGGUUAGAAUAUGUAGUGUAGCGGUGAAAUGCAUAGAUAUUACAUAGAACACCGAUUGCGAAGGCAGAUCACUAACAAUAUACUGACGCUGAUGGACGAAAGCGUAGGUAGCGAACAGG
rnacentral:misc_RNA from 1 species